rnacentral:rRNA from 1 species
GAUGGUGAGAGUGGCGCACGGGUGCGUAACGCGUGAGCAACCUACCUCUAUCAGGGGGAUAGCCUCUCGAAAGAGAGAUUAAGACCGCAUAACAUCAACAGUUCGCAUGUUCGGUUGAUUAAAUAUUUAUAGGAUAGAGAUGGGCUCGCGUGACAUUAGCUAGUUGGUAGGGUAACGGCUUACCAAGGCGACGAUGUCUAGGGGCUCUGAGAGGAGAAUCCCCCACACUGGUACUGAGACACGGACCAGACUCCUACGGGAGGCAGCAGUAAGGAAUAUUGGUCAAUGGGCGGAAGCCUGAACCAGCCAUGCCGCGUGCAGGAUGACUGCCCUAUGGGUUGUAAACUGCUUUUGUCCAGGAAUAACCCCAGAUACGAGUAUCUGGCUGAAUGUACUGGAAGAAUAAGGAUCGGCUAACUCCGUGCCAGCAGCCGCGGUAAUACGGAGGAUCCGAGCGUUAUCCGGAUUUAUUGGGUUUAAAGGGUGCGUAGGCGGCCUGUUAAGUCAGGGGUGAAAUACGGUGGCUCAACCAUCGCAGUGCCUUUGAUACUGACGGGCUUGAAUCCAUUUGAAGUGGGCGGAAUAAGACAAGUAGCGGUGAAAUGCAUAGAUAUGUCUUAGAACUCCGAUUGCGAAGGCAGCUCACUAAGCUGGUAUUGACGCUGAUGCACGAAAGCGUGGGGAUCGAACAGGAUUAGAUACCCUGGUAGUCCACGCCCUAAACGAUGAUAACUCGAUGUUGGCGAUAGACAGCCAGCGUCCCAGCGAAAGCGUUAAGUUAUCCACCUGGGGAGUACGCCCGCAAGGGUGA